GAUUACACCGUGUAGGACUAUACCUCCAGGUGGUUACAAGAAAAAGAAGAUGGUCGUUCCAGGGAACUGAGGAGGGACUGUCUUCUCAUCGCCCUCGUGCUUAUUCUGUUCGUGCUGCUCAUCUUGUGGCUUGCCUGCGGCGGGUUCUUCAGCGGUGCUGAUAAAGGAGACGGCUCACAGACUCCAACUCUCGACAUCGGUAGUUUUCCUGG